GAACAUCAUCCGAGAGAAAGCAAGCAACCGUGUGCCUUUUGGAGACGCGAUGUCGUCCGGCAACAAGAUCAGCGUGGCCUUGCUGAGCGUGGCCCUAGUGGGCCUGCUCCUCUGCCACCUCGCCACCACCGCCUCCGCCCACCAGAAAGACAUCCACGUCCUCGGCAGCGUCGACGGCUCCAGCGACGGCAGCAGCCCCGAGUCCGAAGGCCGCGUCGUCUACGCGGACAUGAAGCUGGCUGAUACGGAAUCCGAUGCGCCGGCGCCGGCGCCGGGGCCGUCGUCCGGUUGAACUGAGAAGCGUGCGUCCAGCCAAGCAAGGUGGUCAAAACCGAGAACUAAUUAAGGGCUCGAUUGUGUGUCCGGCUACUACUGUUCUUGCCAUAAUUAUAUAUAGAUACGCAAAGUGUGGCCAAGCCUACCCACAUGCAUGCUAUUGCAUGCCUCCGAAUAUAUAUAUAUUAUCCGACUCGAUCCUGCCAAAUUGUUUCGUCGACUUCAUUAUAUAUAUUCCAUCCCUUUAAUUUAAUGGAGAAGUGUGACUGCUGUUCGUGAUGGUUUUGUAUGCGCAAAUGUAAUGUAAUCCAUUCGUCCAACAUAAUCCUUGUUUCCCACACAAUUUUCUUUUUUCUUAAAAAAACUUUUAUAAAUCAGCAGGUCACAUGGUUCAUGUGGACUAAUAUGGACGCGCCAGGCAGGCUAAUGCAAGGAUCCCGAUCGAGCUCCUACCGACGAUCGAUGGCCGUAGCCUCGCAGACUCCAACCAAAACUAACUCAUCUUGGCCGAUUGUUUUCCUCGUCAUCCAAAUGUUAAUUAAUUAAGAAAUGAACUUCUACGAGCUUG
rnacentral:lncRNA from 7 species